CCCGGAAGUGCUCGCGGUUCGGCGCCGGAGCUGUGUUUACUUCCGGACUUCCUGUAUAUGGCAGAUCUGGAUAACAGCAACGGCGACCUCAGCGAGAUCUCGUGCGUUGUGAACGCACACGCGACAGGAGCUUCUCCGAGGAAAUUUACAAUGGCUUUGUGACCGAAGAGUCGCUUUGAGCUUCGAGAACCUUCGAGACACAGACUGGCUUCGGAGAGGAAGAAAGUAAUCCCACCGCUACCCUUCGCCAAUACGCCAAAGUCAAUGCGCUCCACCAUUCUAGUGCUGGAGCUGCUUUACCGGUACUUUUCAAACGCAUCUCCUCACUAACAGACACCGACUCGGGUUGAAUUCAAGCCGGGGAGCUGUCGAGAAGCAGCCGUUGGAGGUUACAAGAGAGCUUUCCUGUCGAGCUGCUUCACCUGGGCUGAGAGAAAGCCAAAAUAAAACAAGGAAGGGGACGAAAGUGUGCCCAUCGACCCCCUUUCCAUCAGUAUGGAUUGGUUAAUGGGAUGGACUAGUUUGCAGUCAGAUGUUCACAUGUCUGUCUGCUUGAGUUCAGUUGCUGAAAAAGUUUGCAUACCCUUAGGUGUGAUUUGCAUUUGAGACACUUACGGCGUUAGGUUUCCCGUAGUUCUCAGACGGAGCAAAAAAAAAACAAAAAAACAGUCAGACUUGGAAAAACUCUCAAAUGACAACACGGAGAAUUUUCCUCUUGGUUCAUAACGUAAGCAGCUUUUUAAAUCCGGCACCAGACUAGAACUGCGUACUGGUCGGCGCUACGCUGUCAUUUACUGUGUAACAUGUUUACAUGUGUAACAUGUGUAGGUCUUAUUUAGUUCUGUCGUCUCAUGUGGUUAGUGUGUUGUGUAUGUAUCACCGUGGUCCUGGAGGAACGUUCUUUCGUACCAGCUGUAUAGGGCUGGAUGACAAUAAAUCCGCUUGACUUGACUUGAGCUUUUGGAUCUUCUGAGUUGCAUCUCAUUAUUUGGCUCGUCAUUCUUCCCGAC
ensembl:lncRNA